rnacentral:rRNA from 1 species
UGGUCAAGUUAUUAAGGGUGCAGGGCGGAUGCCUUGGCACUAGGAGCCGAUGAAGGACGUGAUAAGCUGCGAUAAGCUUCGGGGAGUUGCACGUAAACUUUGAUCCGAAGAUUUCCGAAUGAGGAAACUCACUUAGAGUAAUGUCUAAGUAUCAUUAAGUGAAUACAUAGCUUAAUGAGGGGAACUCAGGGAACUGAAACAUCUAAGUACCUGAAGGAAGAGAAAGAAAUUCGAUUCCGUAAGUAGCGGCGAGCGAACGCGGAUUAGCCCAAACCAAUAAAGUUUUCUUUAUUGGGGUUGCGGACAUAUCAUAACGAAGAGGUAUCGUAAUUGAAGAGGUUUGGAAAGACCCACCACAGAAGGUAAUAGUCCUGUAUGUUAAACGAAAAGACUUUAGAUAUGAUCCAGAGUACCACGGGACACGUGAAACCCUGUGGGAAGCAGGAGGGACCACCCUCCAAGGCUAAAUACUACCUAGUGACCGAUAGCGUAUAGUACCGUGAGGGAAAGGUGAAAAGAACCCCGGGAGGGGAGUGAAAUAGAACCUGAAACCCUGCACUUACAAGCUGUGGAAGCACAUUUCUUGUGUGACCGCGUACUUUUUGUAGAACGGGCCAACGAGUUACGUUAAGUAGCAAGGUUAAGCACUUAAGGUGCGGAGCCGUAGCGAAAGCGAGUUUUAACUGAGCGUUCAGUUACUUGACGUAGACCCGAAACCGGGCGACCUACCCAUGAGCAGGAUGAAGCGAAAGUAAAAUUUCGUGGAGGUCCGAACCCACGAGCGUUGAAAAGCUCGGGGAUGACUUGUGGGUAGCGGUGAAAUUCCAAUCGAGCCCGGAGAUAGCUGGUUCUCCCCGAAAUAGCUUUAGGGCUAGCCUCAAGGUGAGAGAUACGGAGGUAGAGCACUGAAUGUCCUAGGGGGUAUUGCACCUACCGAAGACUAUCAAACUCCGAAUGCCGUCAUCUUAUACUUGGGAGUCAGACUGUGGGUGAUAAGAUUCAUAGUCGAAAGGGCAACAGCCCAGAUCGUCAGCUAAGGUCCCUAAAUGUAAGUUAAGUGGUAAAGGAUGUGGGAUUGCACAGACAACCAGGAUGUUGGCUUAGAAGCAGCCACUCAUUCAAAGAGUGCGUAAUAGCUCACUGGUCGAGUGAUCCUGCGCCGAAGAUUUCCGGGGCUAAAACUUACUACCGAAGCUACGGCAUCAGUAAUGAUGGGUAGGGGAGCUUCCCAUACGGGUUGAAGCAUGACCGUAAGGACAUGUGGACAGUAUGGGAGUGAGAAUGUUGGCAUGAGUAGCGAAAUGUGGGUGGGAAUCCCACAGGCCGUAAACCCAAGGUUUCCAGGGGAAGGUUCGUCCGCCCUGGGUUAGUCGGGACCUAAGCUGAGGCCGAAAGGCGUAGGUGAUGGACAACAGGUUGAUAUUCCUGUACUACCGAUAACCGUUUGAGAGAAGGGAUGACACAGUAGGAUAAGCUAAGCACACUGUUGGUUAUGUGUGCCCAAGCAUUGAGGCAGUCAAAGUAGGCAAAUCCGCUUUGAUAAUGCUGGGAUGUGAUGGGGAGCGAAAUUUAGUAGCGAAGUAGCUGAUUUCACACUGUCAAGAAAAGUCUCUAUCGAGGUUAAAGGUACCCGUACCGCAAACCGACACAGGUGGGUGAGGAGAGUAUCCUAAGGCCAGCGAGAGAACUGUUGUUAAGGAACUCGGCAAAAUGACCCCGUAACUUAGGGAUAAGGGGUGCCACCAUCAGGUGGCCGCAGAGAAUAGGCCCAAGCGACUGUUUACCAAAAACAUAGGUUUCUGCUAAGUCGCAAGACGAUGUAUAGGAGCUGACGCCUGCCCGGUGCUGGAAGGUUAAGGGGAUCUGUUAGAGCAAUCGAAGCAGUGAACUUAAGCCCCAGUAAACGGCGGCCGUAACUAUAACGGUCCUAAGGUAGCGAAAUUCCUUGUCGGGUAAGUUCCGACCCGCACGAAAGGCGUAACGAUUUGGGCACUGUCUCAACAACAGACUCGGUGAAAUUGUAAUUCCGGUGAAGAUGCCGGAUACCUGCGACAGGACGGAAAGACCCCAUGGAGCUUUACUGUAGCUUGACAUUGGGUCUUGGUACUACAUGUACAGGAUAGGUGGGAGGCUUUGAAACCAGGACGCCAGUUUUGGCGGAGCCAUCCUUGGGAUACCACCCUUGUAGUACUGGGACUCUAACCAUAGGCCAUGAAUCUGGUCUUGGGACACUGUCAGGUGGGCAGUUUGACUGGGGCGGUCGCCUCCCAAAAGGUAACGGAGGCGCUCAAAGGUUCUCUCAGUACGGUCGGAAAUCGUACGUAGAGUGUAAAGGCAAAAGAGAGCUUGAUUGCAAGACAUACAGGUCGAGCAAGGAUGAAAAUCGGACUUAGUGAUCCGGUGGUUCUGCGUGGAAGGGCCAUCGCUCAACGGAUAAAAGCUACCCUGGGGAUAACAGGCUUAUCUCCCCCAAGAGUCCACAUCGACGGGGAGGUUUGGCACCUCGAUGUCGGCUCAUCACAUCCUGGGGCUGUAGUAGGUCCCAAGGGUUGGGCUGUUCGCCCAUUAAAGUGGUACGCGAGCUGGGUUCAGAACGUCGUGAGACAGUUCGGUCCCUAUCCGUCGCAGGCGUAGGAAAUUUGAGAAGACCUGUCCUUAGUACGAGAGGACCGGGAUGGACGUACCUCUGGUGUACCAGUUGUCCUGCCAAGGGCAUGGCUGGGUAGCUAUGUACGGAAUGGAUAAGCGCUGAAAGCAUCUAAGCGCGAAGCCAACUUCAAGAUAAGAUUUCCCACCGCAAGGGUAAGACCCCAGAAAGACUAUCUGGUUGAUAGGUCGAAGGUGUAAGUGCAGCAAUGUAUUUAGCUUAUCGAUACUAAUAGGUCGAGGACUUGACCAAU